GUUAGUGUGGUCUAGUGGUUUGAGCAGUAGACUAGGACCUGCAGAUCAGGGUUCAAUUCCCCACAUGAGCA